rnacentral:rRNA from 1 species
CCUACGGGGGGCAGCAGGGAGGAAUAUUGGUCAAUGGGCGCGAGCCGGAACCAGCCAAGUAGCGUGAAGGAUGACGGCCCUACGGGUUGUAAACUUCUUUUAUAAAGGAAUAAAGUGAGGCACGUGUGCCUUUUUGUAUGUACUUUAUGAAUAAGGAUCGGCUAACUCCGUGCCAGCAGCCGCGGUAAUACGGAGGAUCCGAGCGUUAUCCGGAUUUAUUGGGUUUAAAGGGAGCGUAGAUGGGUUGUUAAGUCAGUUGUGAAAGUUUGCGGCUCAACCGUAAAAUUGCAAUUGAUACUGGGAGUCUUGAGUACAUUUGAGGUAGGCGGAAUUCGUGGUGUAGCGGUGAAAUGCUUAGAUAUCACGCAGAACCCCGAUUGCGAAGGCAGCUUACUAAGC